UAAGCACGAAACUUGCCCCGAGAUGAGUUCUCCCUGACUCCUUGAGAGUCCUGAAGGAACGUUGAAGACGACGACGUUGAUAGGCCGGGUGUGUAAGCGCAGCGAUGCGUUGAGCUAACCGGUACUAAUGAACCGUGAGGCUUAACCUUACAACGCCGAAGGUGUUU
rnacentral:rRNA from 1 species